UUCUCAGCCAUAUACAUAGUUCAUUGUUUAUGUUUCUGACUGAUAAUGACUCAUCAGAGCCCUGAAGCCACCUGAAUGUCCCCAACAGGCUGCACAGUGCCAAGGACGCUUCCAUAGCCUGAGUGGAUAAAAACUGUAAUACGUCCUAACACAGAAGACAGAGGGUAAUGCUAAUCAGCAGCUCUUCUUGCUAACUAAGUUUCCAGGAAUAUACAUUGUAUCUUGGGACAGUUACCAGAGAUUAACAAAGCAUCCUGCUGUGAGGUACCAUUGGAAAGACAGCAUUCUUUCACUUGGACAGCCCUCUAGUGCUCUCCUUUGUGUACAAGUCCACACUGGUGCUGUUUAAUGGAUCCUGGGAGUCUACCAGCUGAGCCCCUGCUUUCCUGGAAAAAUCUAUUAGCUGGAAUGUGUGGUUUCCCAAUAUUACCUUUCAAGAUCUGGAGGUUCCGUGCAAUCCAGAGCGCUACAUCUCUUCUAGUGGACUCGGUCAUGUGUUGAUUUUAACCUGACUCCACGAAGAGUGUUGCCCUGUUUACUGGCUGAAGAGAGAUCCCAGCAAUGCCCAGGAGACUUACACAGCAACUAAGGAGUCAUAAUCCUGUGGCAUAAUGAAGGCGAGGGUUGAUUCA
rnacentral:lncRNA from 1 species